GGGGAAUCUUCCGCAAUGGGCGAAAGCCUGACGGAGCAACGCCGCGUGAGGGAUGAAGGCCUCUGGGCUGUAAACCUCUUUUAUCAAGGAAGAAGAUCUGACGGUACUUGAUGAAUAAGCCAUGGCUAAUUCCGUGCCAGCAGCCGCGGUAAUACGGGAGUGGCAAGCGUUAUCCGGAAUUAUUGGGCGUAAAGCGUCCGCAGGCGGUCUUACAAGUCUGUCGUUAAAGCGUGGAGCUUAACUCCAUUUCAGCGAUGGAAACUGUAAGACUAGAGUGUGGUAGGGGCAGAGGGAAUUCCCGGUGUAGCGGUGAAAUGCGUAGAUAUCGGGAAGAACACCAGUGGCGAAGGCGCUCUGCUGGGCCAUAACUGACGCUCAUGGACGAAAGCCAGGGGAGCGAAAGGGAUUAGAUACCCCUGUAGUC
rnacentral:rRNA from 1 species